rnacentral:misc_RNA from 1 species
AUACAGUGUGAAAUUAAUUGUGAAUGUCAAUGGUAGAAACUGUAAGAUCCUAUCACCUAGGAUUAUCCAAAGGGGGUGAACAAGAUGGCUCAUGGAAGUCAAUAAGGAUAACCAAGGUGUCAAAGAAAGUUGUCACUGGUUUGCAAUGUGAGAUGCAACCUUAGAAGGAGCAAAAAUAUUCUGAACCUAUUUGGAUUGGCUUAUUUUAGGUGCCUUUUAACCAAAACAGUGUUUAAGCACUUUAAUAGUGUUUGGGUAAGAAAAAAAAGUGUUUUUAAGCCAAA